GUGGGCUAACUUGCAAACUGCUUAACUCAUUUGAACCUAAUUUGGUACCGCUGUAGGGACACCUCAAUGGUGUAAUUUGUGAUGUCAUCCACCCCAAUCCAAGAUGGUGGUUGUGUGAAGUUUUGAAGUGCAAGUGCACUAAUUUGUGGGCUGUCUAACCCAUUUGAAUCAAAUUGGGUACAGAUGAGUGAGUGACACACAAGGACACCUCAGUGGCAUAGUUUGUGACACCAAUUCACCAAUUCAAUUCAUCCACACCAAUUCAAGAUGGCAGACGGCACAAACUUUGGAGGCACAAGUGGGCGAACUUGUAAACUGCUUAAGUGAUUUGAACCAAAAUUGCUACAGCUGUAGGGACACAUAGAGAUGUCCCAGUGGUGUAGUUUGUGAUUAUGUCAUCUACUCCAAUCCAAGAUGGUGGAUGUGUAACUUUUGAGGCGCAAGUGCACUAACGUGAGGAUUGUCCAACUGAUUUAAACCAAAUUUGGUACAGUUGUACUGAGUUACACACAUGGAUACCUCAAUGGUGUAGUUUGUAAUGUCAUCCACCCUGAUCUAAGAUGGCGGAUGCAUGAACAUUUGAGAUGCAAGAGCUCUAACUUGUGGGCCUCGAUUUGAACCAAAUUUAGUCCAAUUGUAGAGAUAUUGAAAGGAAAGUAGACUGCUUAGUUCUUACUAGAACAACUUGUUAACACUUCCUUUCUUCUGCUGAAAACUGUCUUUCACUCCACACUUCUGUUUGCUUGGAUUGGUUUGCCCCUUUCUCCUGUCCUGCAGGAGGAGACAACUCUUUAUCAAGGAUUGCCUUUUAAAAAUAUAUAUAUUGCGCAAACACUGUAUUUUUGCAGGUUUCAGUGGAAAAUGGCAAGGGGGCAAAGGGUUAAACUCGCUUUCCUCCACCAUAUGGACUCCCCUCCCUGUGUGAGAGAGAGUGAGAGAAUGAUGUGUUUAACCUUGUGUCUUUUGCCCCAAACCCAGCAAGUUCAUCUUCUCCUGGGCACAAAAAUGACUACAAUGAGUAAGUUGUGCCUGUUGAUUUUCUCCCUGUCAGGCUGCUGUUGAAGGCACAGAAACUUUCAUUUAAAAAGCUGGAAACAUUCCGCUUGUCUAAUCCAUCAACACCACACUUUCAUAUGGUGUUGUGUCUUACAUGGCCGUCUCUGCCACAUUUGGCAGGGAUCUUGUGAGAACCAGUGUGGUGUAAUUGUGGAUAGUGUUGAACUUGGGCUGGGGAGAGCUGGGUUUAAAUUGCAGCUCAGUGUGUAACUCUGGGAUAGUCACUACUUUUCAGUGUCAUGUACAGCACAAUACUUUGAGCCUAAAAUAGGAGGGGGUAACGCCCCCACAUCUGCUGUCCUGUGCUCCUUCACAGAAGGGCCAGGGCAAGAUACAAAUGUGUGACAACUAAUAAUAAACAAGCCAUGCCAAAACAAACAACAACACACACCCCCGGGGUGGGGGGAAUACCAGUUACAUUUUCCCCCUUGCUGAAAAUCACAUUAGACUCAUAAUGAUCCCAGCUGCCACAAGAAUGGGUGGGGGGUUUUGUGUAGACCGAGGCUUCUGGAGGCCUACCUGCCAUAGUGGGAGUAAACUCCUCCAGGCUGUAUUAUCGAUGUGCUCUUAAUUUUGCAUCUUAUCCCCCCCCUCCCUGCCUCAACACAAUCCUUUGAGAGAGGCCCGAGAGAGAUUUGCACAUGGCUCAAGGCCUCCUAACUAAGUUUCAUAACUAAGCAGUGUUUUUAACUUGGGCCUCGUACAUUUUCCAUGUAAAGGCUCACCAGUGCUGUGCUUUUACAUUGCAUGACAGGCAAAAAUUCAAUAGAUAAAAGCUUUCUACUUCAACACCUCUCCAUGGUGGGAAAAGAAAUUCUGGCAUUGAGUAGUUACAUUAUGAUUUAACACUACAUCGCUGAAACAAAGAAAUGAGAAGCUGUUUUGGGGAUGCACCCUAUUUAUUAUGUCAUGAAUGCUUGGCUUCUUCAGAAGCACAACAUGUACUUUAGGCUGCUGCUGAUAAAAUCAGGGUGCUUCUAAAUGUUACAACACAUUUGGUUUUUCUUCUAUAUUGAAAGUGAGCCUGUAUUCAGAAUGUUCCUUUAAACACAGCCCUGGGUGCACAACAUGUUGGCUGUCCUCUUAUCACUUGUCAGGGUCACAAGUAAAAGGAUUAGGAGGGCAAGGGAAGAUGGAGAGCACUUAUGUGUGUGUCUUUAUGACUGCUGAGUGCAGGCAAAGGACAGCAUUGGGAACUUAUAGGGCUGGUUCCUGCAUUAAUGUUCAAUACUUGAUGACUUGCAUGAGUAACUGGGUUGUCACAGUUAAUAAUAUCACAUCUUCAUUGCUCAAAAUUGCAGUGAUUUUUCAAAGCCAUGCUGCAUGUUACAUCAAGCAUCUGCCUAACACUGAUGUGCUUGGUUUCCUUUCCUUUUCAAAGCAGCAGCAGUGGUGGAGGCAAUCCAGACUGGAACUAGGCUGUGUGGGUGGUGGGGGGUGGUGUAGGGGCUUUAACUUUUGCUUCCACCACACUCUCAGUCCAGAUCAGACCCCUGUGACUGCUAGUUCUUUCAGGGAGAAAGCUUGGUGACCAGUGGGAGGGUGACAUAUACAGUAUGUUUGACUACAGUAUGUGUGCUUACAUUUGUUACUUGACUGCAUAUACAUACAACUAACCCAGUAAUCUUUCCUAAGUUACACUUUCUAUUUCAUUAUGAACAGCAGAAAUGGUGCAUCAUUCAUACAGCCAAUUCCUUUAAGAAGAAAGAAAAUAUCAGCAGUUCUAAACUUCCUAAAAAUAAUUUAUGUAAACCAGAACAUAACCCCUGCUAACCUGGCAAAGAGGCACAUUUUAAUAUGGUGAUUCUCUUUAUUUAGCAGGGGGAGAGUAGCUGGCACUAUCCACCCCAGCACAGUUCCUCCAGUGACUGUUGCUGGUGUCUAAUGUUUCUUUUUAGAUUGUGAGCCCUUUGGGGACAGGGAUCCAUCUUAUUUCUGUAUCAUUUGUCUUUGUAAACCACCCUGAGCCAUUUUUGGAAGGGCGGUAUAGAAAUUGAAUUAAUAAUAACAUAUAUGAAUGCAUUUCUUUUAUGCAGUAAAUAUAUUGACUGACAUGCUGCACAGUGAAACCUCUGGGUUAGCAAGCUGCUGGGGCUGCUGUACACAAAAAGGCAGUCCCAAGGCUGUUGUGGAAGUGGGCUCUUGUGAAACUCCUUAAAACACCAUGCAGGCUACUUCCAUUGGAAAUAAGGGCCCCCUGAAUCCCAGAGUCAAUCCAGUGUUUAUUAAAAACUAAAUCAAGUCCCUAUCAUUUUCGGCACUGGAAAAUGCUCUGAUUAAAAUUUCUCUGGAAAACCCUCAUCACUGCAAUAAACGUAAAUAGGUUCCUAAGAAAAUAAUGCAAUAGAAAAAGGAAAUGCUCCGGCUCCACUUGAAUCAUCUUCUGAUUGCAAACAGCAUUUGUAGCGGCUUUAAAAAAGGGCUGACCCAAUUUGUGCCGAUUGCGUCAGGUGCAUGAGUAGCUCUCAUGUAGGGGUUCAGGUCCAUACAGUCAGGAUCUCCAAGUAAUUCCAGCCAGAUAAUGAGCUAGUCUUGUAUACUCACUCCCAUAGGCAAUUAUCUGGGCCCACCAAGCAUCUCAACUGGGUUUCAGCUAAUUAAGUUAGGAAGAGAUGAGGUCAGUUCAUUAAAAUAUUGCAUUCAAUUUCCUUGCUAUGGAAGUUGGCCUAAGGUUAAGGAAAAAUGUACUAAUGUUUUUAUGACUGUCUUUUUAUGUUAGCUUUCAAAUACACCUUGGGAAAAGUUCCUUUUUGAUCAUAAAAUGCUUUUUAUUUGUAAGAAUGUAAAGCAACUAUUAUUUGAGGUUUCAGCCAAGAAACCCAGAAGAUAGAUCUGUAAUCCUGCUGUUCCUGAGGCAGACAGCAGUGGUUUCUUUUCUAUAGAUUACUAACUGGGGAGGAUAUACCAUCAUGUAAGCAUCAGGAGUAACAGCCUGCAGGAGGGACUGUUCUGUAUUAUUUGGGUGCCUUUUAGUCAGCAAGGCAAUUCAACACAUUUUUAUAAUAAGAAAUAAAAAUAAAAUGAAUAUCUAGAAGCAUGCACAAGCCUAUCUGCAUGGAGUACAUUCUCAUGUCACGGUUCUUUUUUAUUUACAUAAAGAGUAUUCGUUCAAUUAGCCUCAAGUAAGACAAGCCACAUUUUGAGGUUCAUUGAGACUUCCUUAUCCACAUUAAUACCAUCCUUCCAUGCAGCUAUUCCCUAUCCCAUCCUGCUCCUUUUCAUUGUUUGUAGUUCCCCGUUGAGAUUCAGAACAACAUUUAUCUGUCUAUACAAUCCUCUUGACAUCUUAGGAACACUGCCAAGGUAUGCCUUGUCUUGUAUAGCCAGCAUGAAGGGUUUAAUACAUUACUUUUAAUUACCUGCUAGUUCAUUACUGAACUUGAGAGAUUCAGCAAACAGUUAUCUUAGCUUGAUCACUGUGACUCUGUUUGCUGAAGUUCUUAGAUGCAACUGCGAGUAUCUGUAAAAAUUGACAUGCCAUUCCAAUGUCUUAGACCCCUGGCUUAGAACUGGGAAACUACUGACAAGAUGCUUUCAAAUGUAUUUGCUUCUCUCGAUCAGAAUGUAGUGAUAAGAAACAUGGCAAUAAGUAAGAUUAUGCAGAGCAGUGCUUGGUGGCUUUAAAAACCACGACCUUCCACCCCUUUUGAGAUACAGUGAAAAAGGAAAUGGCAUGAUAAAAAGGAAAUGGCAAUUGAAACCUUGUACAGGCAUUUAUCUCCUUUUCCUGUUGCUGUUUUUCUACCACCAUUGGCACUUCUGUGGCUGCCACUUCUACGGUAAAAUCACUAGUGAUUUUUAUUUCUGUCACAUUGACAGGUGUGAUGCAUCAAUCAGAUCAAAUGCAGUGAGGAGAUAGCAUGAUGUCCAAAAGCUCAGCAUGCACCUUUUGAAUGGUUUUUUGGGGGAAACCUCUGACCUUCACUGCAGAGAGUUUUACACCUCUUCUUGUUUUUCUUAAUGUGUCAGCACCAGCAGGGUGUGCUAGAAUGUAGGCAGUUGAUGCAUCUUUCUGAAGAUUCAGCUAGUCCAUUUCAAAAAGCUCUUUGAUUUCACCUAAGGAGUCUGUUCUCAGGGAAAACUAGAAAAUAUCGGUAUUGCAAUAUCAAUAUUGUACCAAAAAAUCCCAAUGCCUUACUUCUAAUCCAAGUGGUGUGACUAAAAUGUUGUUUACCAUUGAAGUUAGUCUGAUUCCCCUGGAAGACGAUUAACACUAUGUUUCCAAAGGAUGGUUUUUGGUGGUUUCCUUUGCUUCUUUUGGUUCUUUAAAAGCAUCAGCUGCAUUCUAUAUUUUCUAGACUGAAGCCCCUAAAUAAAACCACAUAGAGCUUUGAAAGUGAAAUUAUUAUUGAACCAAGUUGAAGAGAAGCAAUUGGGUUAGACAUUUUAGUGCAAAUGAUGAUUUGGAAUGUGCUGACUCCAUGCGCUUGGCCUCUUUCAGCGGAUCUGUAGUGGCUGUUAUUAAGUUCAUUAACCAUGUUUUCAUAACACUCCCAAUAUACAUAUUUUUUUUGAGCAGUGGUCCUCUAGUGUAAUUCCCUUGGGUCCUCCAAGAAAGGAAGUGGCGAAUGUUCUUUUCAAAAGCAUGAAGUGGGAAAAUGUUAAGAACUAUUUAUAGGAGCACUUAGGCUGUGGAAAUCCCAGACAUUAUCUAUCUAUUUAUAGCAUGGGGGUGUGUGUGUUAAGAAGAUGUAUUUAUUAACAGGAUUUAUAUCCCAAUAAUGCCUUUCCUGAAAGACAGUCCAAGGUGGCUAACAAAAGAUACAGUAUUGUAUAAAAUUUGCCAUUGAAAACUAUAAACGUUUUAAAUUACAGACGUCGUAAAAACAGCAGCAUUUAUCCAACCGAUGACCAGUGCAGUCCUUAAACCAACUGAUGAGCUGUGCAAUCCUAUGCAUGUCUACACAGAAGGAAACCCAUGUUAGUUCAAUGGCACUUAGACCAGCAUAUUAUAGGAUGCCUUUGAAUAAUUCCUUCAGGAGUGGCCUUAUCCUUCAACAGGAAAACAAGUGCUGUUCAAAAGUGCAGCUAGGCAAUCUGCAGUAAACCCAAAACAUGCCCGGAAUCCAGAAUACCACAAGAUCCGGUAGGCACACAACAACAGGCAAGGUUAUUUUGGCAGGUUGCAGUACUCAGAACUGCUCUUGGGCAAAGCGCAAGAAGAAAAACAGGCAUUGGGGCCUUACUCCUAGGAGCUUCUGCAAAUGUGUUGAUCGAAGCAACUACUUCAUGUCUCCUAGGUUCUCAGGUGUGCCUGAAGUUUGCUAAGCUUCAUCUGCCUGUAAUGGGGUAUGUGUGUGUGAGACAGAGAGAGAUAGAGAGAGACUAGCAUAGUGGGGUUUGUAGAAUGUGGCCUUUAGGUCUGACAGCAAAAUCAUGUCUGCUGUAGUUGCACUGGUAUUUUACAUUGAUAUACAUGUUGCUAUUAAAAAUACUUCUAUGAAGUUUGCACUUAAUAGAAAAUACAAUAAAAUUGGAUUUGGUUGACAUAAGAAAAUAAUGAUUUGUUUUGUUAUUAUUGCCUAGUAUAAAUCAGCACAAAUUUCUGUUUGAACCAUCUGAGUGGAACCGGUCAGGACAAAUAAUUUUCCUGUUUAAACUGUACUGCUACAUUUUACAACUCUAGAAUAAGGUCACUGGCUCUGCAAGAUGCCUACUAAAAUCUAAGCUUAUACAUUUACCCAUUCUGAAUUAAGCACUGGUAUGUUAGAAUGCAAUCCAGAGUAAGUGCUCAAAUGCAGUUUAGAUUAAGUGCUCAAGUGUAACUGAAUUCAAGUGCACUGUUAAGACAUUGCACAACUUUCCAUAUUAAAGUUGUGCUUAAUAUGGACGUGUGAAGAUACCAAAAAGGGUAGAUACUAACUUUUGAUGUUUAACAGGGAAAUAUGGAGGCUGCUCUCUUUAGUAGGCUGCUGACAGAAGGUUCUUCUACUGGAAACAGAGGGGAAUAACUAAAAUUUGGGCAAGCUCUGAUGCAGCUUCUUCUUUAUUUCUACACAUGAUUAAAUUAGGAGUAGGACCAUGGGCUUGUAUAAUUAGUUCCUAUCCCCCUCCCAUCACUCACAGAAAUGAAUACCAAACUGGCUGAUUUGAUGAAAUGAGAGUUUGUAAGUGAUAUGGUUUAAAGUAAUAUUGGAGGUUUUGGAUGGAAGGUAAUGGAGGCAGCAAAAGCCCUGUGGUGACUGGGGAUUCCAUAUACACAUGAGGAUAGAAGGCCUAUGACAGUUAAGGUCAGUUUGAUUCAAAGUUAGAGUGCCUAUUACUGAAUGUAAAGAUGUGCUUUUUGAUAGCUCUGUGUAAGGAAAGAAUUGUUGCAUAUAUUUUCAAACAAGAAUAAAUUGCUGUUUAUCUGGA